rnacentral:rRNA from 1 species
GUGAAAUUGAUUAAAUGGCUGCAGUAUAUUGACUGUACAAAGGUAGCAUAAUCAUUAGUUUCUUAAUUAGGAACUGGAAUGAAUGGUUAGAUGAGAAAAUAACUGUCUUAAUAAUAAUAAUAAGGAAAUUUAUUUUUAAGUUAAAAAGCUUAAAUUUAAUUUAAAGACGAGAAGACCCUAUAGAGUUUUAUAUUAAUAUAUAAUAUUUAAAAUUAGGAAUUUACUUUAAAUAAUUUUAUUUAGUAUUUAGUUGGGGUGAUUAAAAAAUUUAAUUAACUUUUUUUUUAGGUUAACAUUUAUAAAUGAAUUAUUGAUCCGUGAUUAACGAUUAUAAGAAUAAAUUACCUUAGGGAUAACAGCGUAAUUUUUUUAGAGAGUUCUUAUCGAUAAAAAAGUUUGCGACCUCGAUGUUGGAUUAAAAUUUGUAUUUGGCGCAAGAGUUAAAUUACAAGGUCUGUUCGACCUUUAAAAUUUUACAUGAUCUGAGUUUAAACCGGUGUAAGCCAGGUUGGUUUCUAUCUUAAAUUUAAUAAAUAUAUUUUAGUACGAAAGGACCAAUUAUUUUUAUAAUAUAAUUUUAAAUUGAAUGAGAUUGUUACUUUGGCAGAUUAGUGCAUUAAAUUUAGAAUUUAAAUAUAUAUUAAUUAUAUAAGUAAUACUUGAUAUUGUUAGAUUAUUGUAUAGUAGUGAUUAGAUCAUUAAUUUUACUUAUUUGUGUUUUAGUUGGGGUU